rnacentral:rRNA from 1 species
CAGCUUGAUCCAGUUAGAGUUAAACAGAGCCGGCCAACCCGGUGCCAGCCGCCGCGGCUAUACCGUCGGGCCCAAGUUGACAAGUAUCGGCGUUAAGCGUGUUUAAAGUGCCCCUACAAAUUAGAGUUAAACCUCAACCAAGUUGUGACACACUUGUUAUUAAGAAACCCAAAAACGAAAGUUACUCUAACCAAACCACUUGAAUCCACGACAGCUAGGACACAAACUGGGAUUAGGUACCCCACUAUGCCUAGCCGUAAAACAUUUAUUCACAUUCUUAGCCGCCAGGGAAUUACGAGCCCAAGCUUAAAACCCAAAGGACUUGACGGUGUCCCACCCACCUAGAGGAGCCUGUUCUAUAAUCGAUUCUCCCCGAUAAACCUCACCACUUCUAGCCUACUCAGCCUGUAUACCUCCGUCGUAAGCUUACCAUAUGAACGUUUGAAUUAGUGAGCCAAAAGAUUUAAUCAUCAAUACGUCAGGUCAAGGUGCAGCUCACGAAGCGGGAAGCAAUGGGCUACAGUUUCUAACUUAGAACAAACGAAAGACUACAUGAAACACAGUCAUGAAGGCGGAUUUAGUAGUAAAAAGAAAAUAGAGAG